rnacentral:piRNA from 1 species
GCUGAUUGUAAGGUAAAGCCCUGGGCUGGU